UGGGCUUGGGGACGACUUGCCGGAGCCGGAGUUGACCAGUUCAAGGUCGGCAGUGGUGGAUGACUUCGAGGAAGAAGAAGCCGAGGCAACGGCUUAGGGAGGUCCCCGCUCGUGUGCGUCGUCGUGGCGGUCGAGGAAGUCGAGGCGCAGGCCCUGGGCAUCUCCGAGCGAGACGAGGUGGCUCCAGAGCAUGCGUAUAGAGGGUCAUGGCGAUGGCGGUUGGCGUCGAGGCGCCUGGUUCGGCCCGAUCCAGAUCGGAUCGGGAGGGGAGAGGAGUGGGGAGUGGGGAACGAGGGGGAGUGGGAGAAAUAUCUUGGAGGAGGCCUCGGUGGAGGGCAGAAAUCACAGAUUUGACCUGAGGCAGAAAUCAAAUCACAAACUGAUUUGUUCACGAAAAAAUUUCACUCUCCUGACCCUUUGGUGUGGCGCCCGACAGCUGGGCGCCGCACCCUACUGUGCAGCGCCUCUCCUUUAGGCGUCGCACAUCCUGCCAGCGUGACAGCCCUAGUCCAGUUGCGGCCCCACACGCACCUGUGCAGCGCCUAAGAGCUAGGCGCCACACUUUGACGUGCAGCGCCUAGCCCUUGGGCGCUGCACAGUGACUUAAGCGCGGCCGCCCCAGCCCGACCAGGCAGUUCUUCGUCUCUCCGCUCUCUGGACAGAGAGCAGCGGCGGCGGCGGCGCCCCCAUCUAAUCCCCCCACAUCCCUCUCAGAUCUGAAGAUUUGAUCCGUGGAUUCGAUCCCCAAUCCAUCCUACUAGGUAAACUCUUCCCUUCUCUUUCUUUUGCUCCGUAAAUUUGUUGCCAUUCUAGAGAAUGCAACGGAAGAUAAAGGACUGGCCAAGCAUCAUUCUGCGUAUGUUACCCGCUUCCAGCUUUGUGUGGAGCAAGCUCGUAGCACUGCACGCGCCCCGCUUCGUGAGCACAACUCACUUGCUUUUGAUAACUACGUACGAUGGUUUAUUGGAACUACUCGAGUUGAGAUAUGUCCGCCGGCAUAUAAUGAGGAUAUUCUUGAAGAACCCGUAAACUUUGAGGAUCUAGCAAAGGGGAAGUACAACAGAGAUGUCAGGCUAGGGCAAGGAAUCCCUGCUGUUCCGGUGAUUAACUAUGUGGUAAAGUGUUCCCCUCUUUACUUUCCUAUUGACCGUAUUGCACAUGUUUGAAUGGCUAACGCAUUCAUUUUUUCUCAUCCGCAGCGCACCGAGAUCAAGAAAGCAGCUGAUGAGAGCCAGUCUAUUCUGGAGAAGACACCGGUUGGAACUGGCAAUGAUGAUGGUUCACUACGAGCAUUCCUCAUGGUACAUAUCGCAUUCACUAUGAGAGCCAGUCUAUGUUGCGAAGUUUGAUAUCUUACACACUUGUUCAUGUUACAGCGUCAGGCCAAGAAGUUAAGGCGGUUACCGAACCUUCUCGGUUGCCGUGAUCCUGAAUAUGAUGAACCAUCUGCCUCUAGGUCUGGUACACCAUCAGACCCCGCACCUCACCAUGAGGGGGACGAUGUGAGUUCCUCAUAUGCUUAUGUGGAUGAUGAGGGUGGGAUCACCCAAGAGGUAUGACUAAUCCUUUAGAUGUGAUUCUCACUUGAUUACGACAUCGGCCUUCACCAUAUUGUUUCGUUGUGUGAUAGGGCGAUGAGCUUGAUGAUGACAUGACUUUGGCGGACGCUCAAGCUCGGUCCGCAUAUGUGUUCAAGCCUAGGCAGCCCAGACGCCGGUACACGCCCAACGACUAUGACAAUAGAGGCAACCCAAAGGUGGUCGUAGGGACCUCACGGAUGGCUAGCUUGGAUGAUGAGGCGGAGGAGGAGGCGGAGGCGGAGGCGGAGGAGGAAGUGCACGAAGAGGAUCCUCGUGCUCCUAAGAAGAAGAAGCUUGCCUGCAGGCGUGCCACCAGGAACACGCGCGGAAGGCAUUAGUGCUUGUUCAUGUUAAUUGUAGCCGUUUAAUUAGGUUGACGAACUUGUGAGGUUAUGUUAUAUGUUGGUGAACUCUUACUAGUGUGGUAUUUGUGUUUGCGAACCUGAAGUAAUGUUGAAUUGUCUUAAAUGAUAUGAUGUUCAAGUUAUUAGUUCUCUUUGCUUAGCAUGUGCAGUUUACCCACAUUGUUGUCAUGGAGGUCAACUUCGUUGUCAUCCUCCUCGUACUCAUCAUUCUCCUCUUCAAAACCUUCAUUUUGGUUGUUUGGAGUCAGGCUCAAUGUUGGCCAAUCUUCUUGUGUGAAUUGAGGUUCACUCAUUUGAUCUUGGUUCAUGGGUGGGGGAGUGCUAGCAACCAACGGGGAGGGGUUCCGGUUCAAGUCUAAAUUCAAAGUAGACUCAACCUUCUUGGAGGCAAAUAACUCAAGAGCCUUGUCUAGAGAUUCGGCAACCGUCUCCUUGUAUGCAACCCAAUGUUGCUCGGAGUUCACACGCAUUGUCUUCCAACGGAUGUGCAUUCCUAAACCAACAUUAUGCCUUCCCUCGAACUCAACAACGUCACUUGGGUCCAUCCAAUUCAAAUCUUUCCUCACUUGUUUCAAAAGCUCCACAUAGCUAGAACUACUCUCAAACACCAUGUCAAGCUCAUCCGGGUCCGUCUCAACAUUGCCUUUCAAAAAGGCCUCUUUAUCCACAUGAUGAACAUAAACACAUGUUCUCCCCAUCCCUACAAUAAUCAAAAACACAUAUAUAUCAAGUAAAUACUUAAGAAAAAUAUUUGCACACAUAUGCCCUAACAUAUAUAUGAAUUAAUAACCCUAACCCCCACAUAACAAUAACCACAACCCUAACACCAACAUAACCCUAACACCAACAUCAAACACACAUAACCCUAACCCUAGCAUACUAUGGAAGCCUAAACAACCCAAAUUAGCAAAGAAAUAUAACAUCAUUCAACACAAAUUUCCAAAUCCUAUCAAAAUCUAGGGUUUCCCCAAACUAGCAAGAUUUGAGCAAAUGUGACAAUUCCUAUGGAUGAAAACGAGGGGAUCAGAGGAGAUUACCUUAAGGGAGGGGUUGGCUUCGAAAUCCACGGUCAAAUACUCCGGAUUUGCAAGAUUUGAGAAGGAUUUGAGAGGGGGGAGAGGGGAAGAGAGGAGGGCCGCAAGUCUANNNNNNNNNNNNNNNNNNNNNNNNNNNNNNNNNNNNNNNNNNNNNNNNNNNNNNNNNNNNNNNNNNNNNNNNNNNNNNNNNNNNNNNNNNNNNNNNNNNNNNNNNNNNNNNNNNNNNNNNNNNNNNNNNNNNNNNNNNNNNNNNNNNNNNNNNNNNNNNNNNNNNNNNNNNNNNNNNNNNNNNNNNNNNNNNNNNNNNNNNNNNNNNNNNNNNNNNNNNNNNCUAUCAAAAUCUAGGGUUUCCCCAAACUAGCAAGAUUUGAGCAAAUGUGACAAUUCCUAUGGAUGAAAACGAGGGGAUCGGAGGAGAUUACCUUAAGGGAGGGGUUGGCUUCGAAAUCCACGGUCAAAUACUCCGGAUUUGCAAGAUUUGAGAAGGAUUUGAGAGGGGGGAGAGGGGAAGAGAGGAGGGCCGCAAGUCUAAGGGUUUGGGUCGGGUGGGGGUGUGUGGGGUGGGGGUGGGAGGGGAGAGAGGGUGGGGCCAGCCCAAGUGGAACACAGACUGUGCAGCGCCCAAGAGCUAGGCGCUCCACAUUACAGGUGUGUGGCGCCUAGCUCUUAGGCGCUGCACAGGUGCGUGUGGGGCCGCAACUGAACCAGGGCUGCCACGCUGGCAGGAUGUGCGACGCCUAAGGUAAGGGCGCUGCACAGUAGGGUGCGGCGCCCGGCUGUCGGGCGCCACACCAAAGGGUCAGCAGAGUGAAAUUUUUUCGUGAACAGGUCAGUUUGUGAUUUGAUUUCUGCCUCAGGUCAAAUCUGUGAUUUCUGCCUCGGUGGAGGCCUUAUCGUCUCCUGGUGUCGCCGUCGAUGCGGUCUGGUGGGGCGAGCCCCUCGGUCGGUCGAACAGGAGAAAGCAACCGCGAGGGGAGGGGGAAAGCGGGCUGGCCAGUUGGGGUGGGAUGGGCCGAGGUCUAAGGACAGGCCAGGGGCUCUCCCACCCCUCUUUCUUUCCUUUUUUUGUUUUUUCUUUUAGCAGCAGGCUUUUGCCAUUAAACUAGUCACCAAAUGACUUUGCAAAAUUGUGUGCCUGGCCAAAACAAUUUCAAAGAAUUAUUGGGCACUGCCACAAAAAGAUUGUGAGGCUUUUGAAAUAGUUUGCAACCUUCAUAAUUUAAAAGAAGGCAAUUAAAUUAUAGUUUUAGCCACUGUUUUAAAGUGGUUUAGGGUACUUAGGCAUUUGCAAAAAUGUUGGUUCACUACCAAUAUUAGGUAUGGAUUAUUUGGCACAUGAAGAACAUUUUAGUUUUCAUGUUUGAGAAAUUUGAAUUUUGGUCUUUAAUUUGAAUUUGAGUUUGAACUAAGAUUUGGAUCAAGCGAGGAUUAGCAACAGUCAUGCGAUGACAUGGCACAAUUAGAAGGGGAUUACUGCAGCUUAAUUAUCUAGGCGUCACAGUUCUCCUCCACUACAAGAAAUCUCGUCUCGAGAUUUAAGGGGUGAGUAAGGGGGAAAGAUGAUAACCCACAAGUGUAGGGGAUCGCAACAGCUUUCGAGGGUAGAGUAUUCAUCCCAAAUUUAUUGAUUCGACACAUGGGGAGCCAAAGAAUAUUUUUGAGUAUUAGUAGUUGAGUUGUUAAUUCAACCACACCUGGAUAACUUAGUAUCUACAGCAAAGUAUUUAGUAGCAAAGUAGUAUGAUAAUAAAGGUAACAAUAGCAAAAGUAAUGUUUUUGGGUUUUGUAGUGAUUGUAACAAUAGCAACGGAAAAGUAAAUAAGCGAAGCACAAGAUGUGAAAAGCUCGUAGGCACUGGAUCAGAUAUGGAUAAUUAUGUCGGAUGCAAUUCCUCAUGUAAUAGAUAUAACAUAGGGUGACACAGAACUAGCUCCAAUUCAUCUAGGCAUGUAUUCCGAAUAUAGUCAUACGUGCUUAUGGAAAAGAACUUGCAUGACAUCUUUUGUCCUAGCCUCCCGUGGCAGCGGGGUCCUUACGGAAACUAAGGGAUAUUAAGGCCUCCUUUUAAUAGAGAACCGGAACAAAGCAUUAGCAUAUAGUGAAUACAUGAACUCCUCAAACUACGGUCAUCACCGAGAAGUGUCCUGAUUAUUGUCACUUCGGGGUUGUCGGAUCAUAACACAUAAUAGGUGACUAUAGACUUGCAAGAUAGGAUCAAGAACACACAUAUAUUCAUGAAAACAUAAUAGGUUCAGAUCUGAAAUCAUGGCACUCGGGCCCUAGUGACAAGCAUUAAGCAUAGCAAAGUCAUAGCAACAUCAAUCUCAAAACAUAGUGGAUACUAGGGAUCAAACCCUAACAAAACUAACUUGAUUACAUGGUAAAUCUCAUCCAACCCAUCACCGUCCAGCAAGCCAACGAUGGAAUUACUCACGCACGGAGGUGAGCAUCAUGAAAUUGAUGAUGGAGGAUGGUUGAUGAUGACGAUGGCGAUGAAUCCCCCUCGCCGGAGCCCCGAACGGACUCCAGAUCAGCCCUCCCGAGAGAGAUUAGGGCUUGGCGGCAGCUCCGUAUCGUAAAACGCGAUGAAACUUUCUCUCUGAUUUUUUUCUCCGCGAUACGGAAUAUAUGGAGUUGGAGUUGAGGUCGGCAGAGCCUUAGGGGGCCCACGAGAUAGGGGGACGCGCCCAGGGGGGUGGGCGUGCCCCCACCCUCGUGGACAGGGUGUGGGCCCCCUGGUCUUGAUUCUUUCUCCAGUAUUUUUUAUAUUUUCCCAAAAGUGCCUCCGUGGAUUUUCAGGACAUUCCGAGAACUUUUGUUUUCUACACAUAAAACAACAUCAUGGCAGUUCUACUGAAAACAGCGUCAGUCAGGGUUAGUUUCAUUCAAAUCAUGCAAAUUAGAGUCCAAAACAAGGGCAAAAGUGUUUGGAAAAGUAGAUACGUUGGAGACGUAUCAACUCCCCCAAGCUUAAUCCUUUGCUUGUCCUCAAGCAAUUCAGUUGAUAAACUGAAAGUGAUAAAGAAAAACUUUUACAAACUCUGUUUGCUCUUGUUGUUGUAAACAUGCAAAGCCAGUAUUCAGGUUUCAACAAAUAUUAUGAACUAACCAUACUCACAAUAACACCUAGCUCUCACAAUUACUCAUAUCAAUAGCAUAAUCAGCUAGCGAGCCAUAAUAAUAAAACUCGGAUGACAACACUUUCUCAAAACAAUCAUAACAUGAUAUUACAAAAUGGUAUCUCGCUAGCCCUUUCUGAGACUGCAAAACAUAAAUGCAGAGCACCUUUAAAGAUCAAGGACUGACUAAACAUUGUAAUUCAUGGUAAAAGAGAUCCAGUCAAGUCAUACCCAAUAUAAAUCAACAAUAAUGAAUGCAAAUGACAGUGUGCUCUCCAGCGGGUGCUUUUUAAAAAGAAGGCGAUGACUCAACGCAAGCCCGAGAUGUAUUAUAAGGGCGUCCUGAAGGGUGCCCGCAUUAUAGCGGGUGAAUGCUCCAAAGAUGUAAUUUUUGAGUAGACUCGCAUUUGUUAUCUUGUAUGCUGAAAACUUUGUUCAUAUGCGCUAAGCAACGCUUGUUAAAUUAAGAUAUUACCUUCUGUGCGGCCGUUUAUCAAAUUUGAGAGAUAGCAAGUCGUUGGCUUCAGCCCCCAUGCCACGAGUGCUGGGGUGUUCGGGAAAAACUUGAGCGCUCUUGUUCCCAUUCUUGGGUCCUUUCGAGGGAGGCGUUCAACACAAUGAACGAGGCAACCGGACUAUAAUGCUUGAACACUCUCACUUAGCCAUAGAAUUCUAUAAUUUUAAACUUCGGCGAAGCCCCUAGUAUUCGGAAGACCGAGUUCGGGGCGCUAUCCACGGCUUGGCCGGACAAUGCCGACUCCUCGCCCUAAGCGGCAUGAGUCUUUAGGGACCCGAAAAACCUCUCGAAUAGCGACCGGCUCUCACCCUAUCAUGAAGGUCAAUUUUAGCUUUCUCCACUGAGGUGCUCAACCCAGCUCAACCGGGGCACAAUCGCAGUGGUUCUCCCAGCGCUACCUUAGCCGAUAUAGCGGAACGUAAGGUACCAAAACAUGGGAGCCGGGCAAACCCAACUAUUGACCCAAGACAUGAUUUGGAGCCGAUUCAUAUAAUGCUAUAAGUUCGGGGUGCCGCACUUGUGAAAGUGUUCGGACUUAUCACACCAUGUUUUGGGGUACUUAAGCCCCUGGUGUAUUUGACCGUACCAAGUUGUACGAGUGCACCAUGUCAUAGAUGAACAUUUAUAAAGAAGAAGGAAAAGCAAUAAUAAGCAGAAGCUAUGUAUUGUUUAUUCAAAAGAUACUGCAAUGAAAGCAGAAUGAUACAAAUAGUGCGAUAAGCAAGGGAUAGGACUAUUUAACAUGUCCCCCUCCAGGGGUAAGCUACGGGAUGGUAUGUAAAACAGGUAUACUGCUCAUAAUAGAGACCACCUGGACACUCGACGUAGUUUUUCUGCUUCCCUGGCUGUUGUAUCGUGAGUUCGGCGUUUCUACUGCCGGACAGGGCUUCUGGAAAACGGAGUCCUGAGAAUAAAAAAAAAGAAAAAAAAAGAAUGACACAAUGGGGAGCCCCUGGUGCGGUUGAGCCGCAUUCUGGGCAUGCCUUGGUCGUGCCCCUUCCCAGAGCGUAGUUAUGUACGCGUGAUACUGGUCUCGUGAUUUCGCGAGGGCUGGGGUUGGGGCCGCAUUGCUAUGCGUGCUCGGAAUGUGCCAGGCGGUCAUGUUGUAGGUUACUCCGGGCGCGCUUGACGGUGUCCGGACGUUUAGUGAUCGGACUCAAGAAUUGCCUUAAUAGGCUGCUUUGUACUUCCGCCGCGAGGGCCGCCGUGUGCUCCUCCUUCCGGAGAGAGCGUUCGGUGUUUCCAUUAACCGUGAUUACUCCUCGAGGGCCUGGCAUCUUGAGCUUGAGGUAUGCGUAGUGCGGCACCACAUUGAACUUUGCAAAUGCGGUUCGUCCGAGCAGUGCGUGAUAGCCACUGCAGAACGGGACUAUGUCGAAGAUUAACUCCUCGCUUCGGAAGUUAUCCGGGGAUCCGAAGACCACUUCAAGUGUAAUUGAGCCUGUACAGUUGGCCUCUACACCUGGUAUGACGCCUUUAAAGGUCGUUCUUGUGGGUUUAAUCCUUGAGGGGUCUAUGGUCAUUUUGCGCACUGUGUCCUGGUAAAGGAGGUUCAAGCUGUUGCCGCAGUCCAUCAGGACUCUAGUGAGGUGAAAUCCGUCAAUGAUUGGGUCAAGAACCAAUGCGGCGAAUCCGCCGUGGCGGAUGCUAGUGGGGUGGUCGCUUCGAUCAAAAGUGAUCGGGCAGGAGGACCACGGGUUGAACUUUGGGGCGACUGGCUCCAUCGCGUAUACGUCCCUUAGUGCACGCUUCCGCUUCCUUUUGGGUAUGUGGGUUGCGUAUAUCAUGUUCACUAUCCGCACUUGUGGGGGAAAGCCCUUCUGUCCUCUAUUGUUCGGCGGCCGGGGCUCCUCCUCGUCAUCGCUAUGCAGCCCCUUGUCAUUGUGUUCGGCACUUAACUUGCCUGCUUGCUUGAAUACCCAACAAUCCCUGUAGGUGUGGUUAGCUGGUUUUUCGGGGGUGCCAUGUAUCUGGCACAAGCGAUCGAGUAUGCGGUCCAAAUUGGACGGCCCCUGAGUAUUUCUUUUGAACGGCUUUUUCCGCUGACCGGGUUUGGAGCCUCUGAAUCCGGCAUUGACUGUCGUAUCUUCAGUAUUAUCGCCGUUAAUGCUGCGCUUGUGCUUGUUGCGACGCGACCUGCCAUUGCUGUCCUUGGUAUCCGAACUACCAGGGUUUUUGGUUAGGUUGUUACUGGGAGCUAGCCAGCUGUCCUAUCUCGUGCAAAAGCGGGUCAUGAGUGAUGUGAGGGCUGCCAUGGAUUUCGGCUUUUCCUGUCCUAGGUGCCGGGCAAGCCACUCGUCACAGAUGUUAUGUUUGAAGGCUGCAAGGGCCUCUGGAUCCGGACGGUCAAUGAUUUGAUUUUUCUUGGUUAAGAACCGUGUCCAGAAUUGUCUGGCCGAUUCAUCUGGCUGCUGAAUUAUGUGGCUUAGGUCAUCAGCGUCCGGUGGUCGCAUAUAUGUGCCCUGGAAGUUAUCAAGGAAUGCGGCUUCCAAGUCUUCCCAACAACCAAUUGAUUCUGCUGGCAAGCUGUUGAGCCAAUGCCGAGUUGGUCCUAUAAGCUUGAGUGGGAGGUAUUUGAUGGCGUGUAGAUCAUCACCGCGGGCCAUGUGGAUAUGAAGGAGAUAGUCCUCGAUCCAAACCGCAGGGUCUGUUGUGCCAUCGUAUGAUUCAAUGUUUACGGGUUUGAAACCCUCGGGGAUUUGAUGAUCCAUUACUUUGUCUGUGAAGCAUAAUGGGUACGCGGCGCCUCUAUAUUGGGCUAUGUCAUGACGCAGCUCAAAUGAGCUGUGUCUACUGUGUUCGGCCUGGCCGGAAUUGCUGUAUCUGGCGUGACGGUUGUCAUCACGUAUCGUGGGGUGCCCACGCGAUCCGUAGAUCGAUCUUAUUUUCCUUGCCUUGUCCUCCAAUAUAUCUCGCAAGUCCGACACAUUUCCCCGCGGCUUUGUACUUUUCGAGUGAAGCCGAGGUGCGGCUUUAGUGGAGGGACUAAAGGCCUCUCUGUCGCGGCCGCGAGGUGGCCGGUCGGCCGCGUCAUGCGCUGGUGAUGUAGGUUUGGGUGCUUCCUCCUCUAAUUGGGGCAGCAGCCUGCAUUUUGGGUAGCUCUUGGAGGGGCGAUCGAGUUUAUACUCUUCGGCUGCGAGGACUUCGGUCCAUCUGUCAGCUAGCAAGUCUUGGUCAGCUCUAAGCUACUGCUGCUUUUUCUUGAGGCUGCUUGCCGUGGCCAUAAGCCUGCGUUUGAAACGCUCUUGUUCGACGGGAUCCUCGGGCAAAACAAAUUCGUCGUUGUCGAGGCUUGCUUCAUCUUCGAAGGGAGGCAUAUAAUUAUCGUCUUCUACCUCUCUGUCUGCUGCUCUAUCAUGAGGGCUGGCUUCUCCCUCCUCCUAUGCUGAAUCCUGCUGGAGGUGGUUGUCUUCGGCACUGUCUGGGGUGUUAUUAUCUCCCGUGCCGGAAUCACCGUUUUUGUUGUGUCGGGAUUUAGAGCAGCGCCGCUGACGCCGACGCUUGGGCUGUUUCUUGGAGGGGUCAUCCUCUGCUGUUCCAUUGCCAUUCCCAUCUUUUGGGGUGUCCACCAUGUAUAUGUCGUAUGAUGAGGUGGCCUUCCAGUGCCCUGUAGGCGCUGGUUCUUGGAUGUCUCCUGCAUCAUCGUCCAUACCGUCGAUGUCUUCGGAGUCGAAGUCGAGCAUGUCGGUUAAAUCAUCGACAGUGGGUACAAAGUGGGUGGUGGGUGGGCGUUGAAUUUCUUUGUCAUCCGCAUCCCAACCUUCCUGGCCACAGUCCAGCCAGGGCUCUCCUGAUAAGGUGAGAGACUUUAGUAAAUUCAGGAUGUCACCAAAGGGCGAGUGCUGAAAGAUGUCCGCGGCAGUGAACUCCAUAACCGGCGCCCAAUCGGAUUUGACUAGCAGGGGUGCGGGAGGUUCGGAGUCCGGAGAGGAGUCCGACACCUCGGAGUCACGGGCUUUGCAAAGGACAGGGAUGGUGUUUGGCUCAAUCGCCGUAGAGAUCGUAGCCCCCGAGGCGGUGUCCAACCACUCGUCCUCGAUCGGCGAAAUCUGCUCCGAGCUAAAGGUCGGAGCGGAUGCUAGUGCGGCCUCAAGGGUACUGUUCGGCGGCAGAGCUAGAUCAUACCCAUCGAGACAGUGCGGCGCGCUUGGCUGUGGCUCGAAUCCAUCGAAGAUCAAGUCUCCGCGGAUGUCAGCCGUGUAGUUCAAACUCCCGAAUCUGACCUGAUGGCCAGGGGUGUAGCUUUCGAUCUGCUCCAGAUGGCCAAGUGAAUUGGCCCGCAGUGCGAAGCCACCGAAUACGAAGAUCUGUCCGGCGAGAAAAGUCUCGCCCUGGACCGCGUCGUUGUUGAUGAUCGAAGGAUCCAUCGGGCCUAAAGGUGACGACAUAGAGGAACUCUCAAUGAAAGCACCAAUGUCAGUGUCAAAACCGGCGGAUCUCGGGUAGGGGUUCCCGAACUGUGCGUCUAGGCAGAUGGUAACAGGAGACAAGGGACACGAUGUUUUUACCCAGGUUCGGGCCCUCUCGAUGGAGGUAAAACCCUACUCCUGCUUGAUUAAUAUUGAUGAUAUGGGUAGUACAAGAGUAGAUCUACCACGAGAUCAGAGAGGCUAAACCCUAGAAGCUAGCCUAUGGUAUGAUUGUUGUUCGUCCUACGGACGAAAACCCUCCGGUUUAUAUAGAAACCGGAGAGGGUUAGGGUUACACAGAGUCGGUUACAAUGGUAGGAGAUCUACAUAUCCGUAUCGCCAAGCCUGCCCUCCACGCCAAGGAAAGUCCCAUCCGGACACGGGACGAAGUCUUCAAUCUUGUAUCUUCAUAGUCUAGGAGUCCGGCCAACGGUGAUAGUUCAGCCAUCCGGACACCGCCUAAUCCAGGACUCCCUCAACUGCCUUAAGAAGGCUAGCACAAAAGCAACAACGAUCGAAGAGGCAAGGCCUCCUGCCUGGGACUGAUACGUCUCCAUGCUACUUUAUCUACUGUUUUGGACUAUAUUGGGCUUUAGUUUCCACUUUUAUAUUAUUUUUGGGACUAACCUAUUAACCGAACAUGAUCCAGGAGAGUUGGACCCUGCUCCAAGGAACAAAAGAGACGGUCACGAGGGUGGUGGUGCCCCCCUACCUCGUGGCCCCCCUGCUGCUCCACCGACGUACUCCUUCCUCCUAUAUAUGCCUACGUAUCCCCGACAGAUCAGAAGAGGAGCCAAAAACCUAAUUCCACCGCCGCAACUUUCUGUAUCCAUGAGAUCCCAUCUUGGGGCCUGUUCUGGAGCUCCGCCGGAGGGGGCAUCUACCAUGGAGGGUUUCUACAUCAACACCAUAGCCCCUCCGAUGAAGUGUGAGUACUUUACUUUAGACCUUCGGGUCCGUAGCUAGUAGCUAGAUGGCUUCUUCUCUCUUUUUGGAUCUCAAUACAAUGUUCUCCCCCUCUAUUGUGGAGAACUAUUUGAUGUAAUCUUCUUUUUGCGGUGUGUUUGUUGAGACCGAUGAAUUGUGGGUUUAUGAUUCAGAUUAUCUAUGGAAAAUAUUUGAUUCUUCUCUGAAUUCUUUUAUGUAUGAUUGAGUUAUCUUUGCAAGUCUCUUCGAAUUAUCCGUUUGGUUUGGCCAACUAGAUUGGUAGUUCUUGCAAUGGGAGAAGUGCUUAGCUUUGGGUUCGAUCUUGCGGUGUCCUUACCCAGUGACAGAAAGGGUUGCAAGGCACGUAUUGUAUUGUUGCCAUCGAGGAUAACAAGGUGGGGUUUUUAUCAUAUUGCAUGAAUUUAUCCCUCUACAUCAUGUCAUCUUGCUUAAGGCGUUACUCUGUUUUUAACUUAAUACUCUAGAUGCAUGCUAGAUAGCGGUCGAUGAGUGGAGUAAUAGUAGUAGAUGUAGAAUCGUUUCGAUCUACUUGUCUUGGACAUGAUGCCUAUAUACAUGAUCAUUGCCUAGAUAUGCUCAUAACUAUGCUCAAUUCUGUCAAUUGCUCAACAGUAAUGUGUUCACCCACUGUAGAAUACUUAUGCUCUUGAGAGAAGCCACUAGUGAAACCUAUGGCCCCGGGUCUAUUCUCAUCAUAUCAAUCUCUAUCGCUUUAUUACUUGCUUUGUUUUUACUUUGCCUUUUACUUUUCACUUUGCAUCUAUCUAUCAAAAAUACCAAAAGUAUUAUUUAUCAUCUCUAUCAGAUCUCACCCUCGUAAGUGACCAUGAAGGGAUUGACAACCCCUAAUCGCGUUGGUUGCGAGUAGCUAUCGUUUUGUGUAGGUACGAGGGUCUUGUGCGUGGUCUCCUACUAGAUUGAUACCUUGGUUCUCAAAAAUUGAGGGAAAUACUUACGCUACUUUACUGCAUCAUCCUCUCCUCUUCGGGGAAAUCCAAUGCAGUGCUCAAGAGGUAGCAAGAAGAAUUUCUGGCGCCGUUGCCGGGGAGGCUUACACAAGAAAGUCAACAAUACCAAGUACCCAUCACAAUCCCUAUCUCUCGCAUUACAUUAUUUGCCUCUCGUUUUCCUCUCCCCCACUUCACCCUUGCUGUUUUAUUCGCCCUCUCUUUCCCAAUCUCCUCCUCUCUUUCUCGUUUGCUUUCUUCCGCCUUGCUCCUGUUACUGCUAUGUCUGAAAUUGGGGAGAUUAUCGUCGAUAUGGACAAUAAUGAUAACAUAGAAAAUCUCGAGGCUCCGGCCGAUGAACCUCCUAUAUUGCAUACUAAAAAGUUUCGAAUCGGUAGUGGUAACAUCAUUGGCAAAGGUGUUAUUCAAGACUCUUUUACUUGUGCCGGUGCUUUACCUUCCAUGGGCUGCUCUAUUCUUCACACAACUAGUAGUCUUGCGGAUGCUAUUGCUCUGCUUGUGGUUGAACUUGAAAGACAAUUUAUGCAUAUGCAUCCUUGCAUCCAAAGAAUUUUUCUAGAAUUCUCUAAUAUUGAGCAUUCUUCUGUUAAGCGUGCUGUUACUAUCUUCUUGGCUCACGAGUUUAGAUUUAUCAGAAGAGAAGCCAAAGAAAUCUUUGCACACUAUAGGGUGGACACUGGUUGUCCUCCCAUAGAGGCAACCCUCUAUGAUCAAGAGGAAUUUAGGCAUUUUCAAUCUUCGGACUACGUUGCUUUUAGUGAAAACUUUAGAAAAAAGGUUCCUAUCAAUGUCUUGGUUGAUUGCAUCAAUGAACUCAAUAAUGAUAUUGCUCUUUGAAACAAUGAGCUAGGCUACUCUCUUGAGUAUAGGCUCACAAAAUUUUGCCAGAAGAAUGCUUUUAGUGACAAAAUAGUUGUGCACUAUGAAGGGCCAAGGGAGGAACCCGUUCCUCCUAUGAUUGAUCUUGGGGACAUCUGUCCCACUAAAUUUAGCCCUUUUGAUUACUUUUGCUUGCCUCAAAGAAAACUUGCUGCCGAACGUAGAGAAUAUGAGAUGAGUUUUCAAGAUCUAUCUUAUUAUUAUGGCACGCAUUAGAUCUAUCCUUGCUUUUAUGCCUAGCUAGGGGCGUUAAACGAUAGCGCUUGUUGGGAGGCAACCCAAUUUUAUUUUGUGUUUUGUGUUUCUGUUUCUGUUUAGGAAUAAAUAAUCCAUCUAGCCUCUGUUUAUAUGUGGUUUUGUCUUUUAAUUAGUGUUUGUGCCAAGUAGAACCUAUAGGAUAACCUACGAUGAUAGUAGAUUUGAUUCUGCUGAAAAACAGAAACUUUACGUGCACGAAUAUAAUUUUGUUAAAUCACAGGAAUGUGAUUUUGCGUUGAUUAUUUUUUCUGCUGUUCAAUAAGAAAAUUUUCCAGGACUUCCUAUUUUGUUAGAAUUUUUAGAGUUCCAGAAGUUUGCGUUAGUUACAGAUUGCUACAGACUGUUCUGUUUUUGACAGAUUCUGUUUUACGUGUGUUGUUUGCUUAUUUUGAUGAAUCUAUGGCUAGUAAAAUAGUUUAUAAUCCAUAGAGGAGUUGGAAUACAGUAGGUUUAACACCAAUAUAAAUAAAGAAUGAGUUUAUUACAGUACCUUGAAGUAGUCUUUUGUUUUCUUUCUCUAACGGAGCUCACGAGAUUUCUGUUGAGUUUUGUGUUGUGAAGUUUUCAAGUUUUGGGUGAAUUCUUUUGAUGGAUUAUGGAACAAGUAGUGGCGAGAGCCUAAGCUUGGGGAUGCCCAUGGCACCCCCAAGAUAAUCCAAGGACACCAAAAAGUCAAAGCUUGGGGAUGCCCCGGAAGGCAUCCCCUCUUUCGUCCACUUCCAUCGGUAAUUUACAUGGAGCUAUAUUUUUAUUCACCACAUGUUAUGUGUUUUGCUUGGAGCAUCUUGUAUUAUUUGUGUCUUUGCUUGUUAGUUUACCACAAUCAUUCUUGCUGUACACACCUUUUGAGAGAGCCAUACAUGAUUUGGAAUUUGUUAGAAUACUCUAUGUGCUUCACUUAUAUCUUUUGAGCUUGAUAGUUUUGCUCAUAGUGCUUCACUUAUAACUUUUGAGCAUGAUAAUUUUUGCUGUAGUGCUUCACUUAUAUCUUUUAGAGCACGGUGGUGGAUUUUUUUAAAGAAACUAUUGAUCUCUCAUGCUUCACUUAGAUUAUUUUGAGAGUCGUUAAUAGCAUGGUAAUUUGCUUAAUGUUAAUAUACUUCGUAUUCAAGAUAUGUGAAACUUUCUUUUGAGUGCGUUGAAUACUAAGAUAAGUUUGAUGCUUGAUAAUUGUUUUGAGAUAUGGAGGUGAUAAUAUCAAAGUUGUGCUAGUUGAUUAAUUAUGAAUUUGAUAAAUGCUUGUGUUGAAGUUUGCAAGUCCCGUAGCAUGCACGUAUGGUUAAAGUUGUGUAACAAAUUUGAAACAUGAAGUGUACCUGGCUUGUGCAUCCUUAUGAGUGGCGGUCGGGGACGAGCGAUGGUCUUUUCCUACCAAUCUAUCCCCCUAGGAGCAUGCGCGUAGUACUUGAUUUUUGAUGACUUCUAAAUUUUUGCAAUAAGUAUAUGAGUUCUUUUGACUAAUGUUGAGUCCAUGGAUUAUACGCACUUUUACCUUUCCGCCUUUGCUAGCCUCUUCGGUACCGUGCAUUGCCCUUUCUCACCUUGAGAGUUCGUGCAAACUUCGCCGGUGCAUCCAAACCCCGCGAUACGAUACACUCUCUCACACAUAAACCUCCUUAUAUCUUCCUCAAAACAGCCACCAUACCUACCUAUUAUGGCAUUUCCAUAGCCAUUCCGAGAUAUAUUGCCAUGCAACUUCCACCAUCAUCAUCAUGACAUACAUUACUUUUGUCAUAUUUCCAUUGCAUGAUCAUGUAGUUGACAUCGUAUUUGUGCCAAAGCCACCUUGCAUUAUUUUUCAUACAUGUCACUCUUGAUUCGUUGCACCAUCCCGGUACACCGUCGGAGGCAUUCAUAUAGAGUCAUAUCUUGUUCUAAAUUUUGAGUUGUAAUCUUUAUGUUGUAAUCAAUAGAAGUGUGAUGAUCAUCAUUAUUAGAGCAUUGCCCAAAGAAAAAAAAGAAAAAAAAGAAAAGAAAAAAGGCCAAAAAAAAGAAAAAAAGAAAGGCCCAAAAAAAAGAAGAAAAAAAAAGAAAAAAAGAGAAAAGAAAAAGGGCAAUGCUACUAUCUUUUUUUCCACACUUGUGCUUCAAAGUAGCACCUUGUUCUUCAUAUAGUGAGUCUCAUAUAUUGUGCUUCAAAGUAGCACCUUGUUAUUCAUGUAGUGAGUCUCAUAAGUUGUCUUUUUACACUAGUGGGAAUUUUUUAUUAUAGAACUUGGCUUGUAUAUUCCUAUGAUGGGCUUCCUCAAAUGCCCUAGGUCUUCGUGAGCAAGCAAGUUGGAUGCACACCCACUACUUUUCUUUUGUUGAGCAUUCAUUUAUAGCUCUAGUGCAUCCGUUGCAUGGCAAUCCCUACUCCUCAUGUUGACAUCAAUUGAUGGGCAUCUCCAUAGUCCGUUGAUUAUCCUCGUCAAUGUGAGACUUUCUCCUUUUUUUGUCUUCUCCACACAAUCCCCAUCAUCAUAUUCUAUGCCACCCAUAGUGCUAUAUCCAUGGCUCACGCUCAUGUAUUGCGUGAAGGUUGAAAAAGUUUGAGAUUAUUUAUGUAUGAAACAAUUGCUUGGCUUUUCAUUGGGGGUAUAGAAGUUGGGACAUCUUUAUGUGACGAAAAUGAAGCAUAGCCUAACUAUAUGAUUUUGUAGGGAUGGACUUUGUUUUGCCAUGUUAUUUUGAGAAGACAUGAUUGCUUUGAUUAGUAUGCUUGAAGCAUUAUUAUUUUUGUGUCAAUAUGAACUUUUGUCUUGAAUCUUUCGGAUCUGAAUAUUCAUAUCACAAUUAAGAAGAUUUACAUUGAAAUUAUGCCAAAGUAUCACUCCGCAUCAAAAAUUAUCUUUUUAUCAUUUACCUACUCGAGGACGAGCAUGAAUUAAGCUUGGGGAUGCUUGAUACGUCUCCAACGUAUCUAUAAUUUUUGAUUGCUCCAUGCUACUUUAUCUAUUGUUUUGGACUAUAUUGGGCUUUAUUUUCCACUUUUAUAUUAUUUUUCGGACUAACCUAUUAACCGGAGGCCCAGCCGAGAAUUGCUGUUUUUUGCCUAUUUCAGUAUUUCGAAGAAACGGAAUAUCAAAUAGAGUCCAAAAGGAAUGGAACCUUUGGGAAUGUGAUUUUCUCACCGAACGUGAUCCAUGAGACUUGGACCCUGCUCCAAGGAACAAAAGAGACGGUCACGAGGGUGGAGGGCGCCCCCCUAGGCGCGCCCCCUACCUCGUGGGCCCCCUGCUGCUCCACCGACGUACUCCUUCCUCCUAUAUAUGCCUACUUAUCCCCGACAGAUCAGAAGAGGUGCCAAAAACCUAAUUCCACCACUGCAACUUUCUGUAUCCAUGAGAUCCCAUCUUGGGCCCUGUUCCGGAGCUCCGACGGAGGGGCAUCUACCACGGAGGGCUUCUACAUCAACACCAUAGCCCCUCCAAUGAAGUGUGAGUAGUUUACUUCAGACCUUCGGGUCCAUAGCUAGUAGCUAGAUGGCUUCUUCUCUCUUUUUGGAUCUCAAUACAAUGUUCUCCCCCUCUCUUGUGGAGAACUAUUUUAUGUAAUCUUCUUUUUGCGGUGUGUUUGUUGAGAUCAAUGAAUUGUGGGUUUAUGAUUCAGAUUAUCUAUGGAAAAUAUUUGAUUCUUCUCUGAAUUCUUUUAUGUAUGAUUGAGUUAUCUUUGCAAGUCUCUUCGAAUUAUCCGUUUGGUUUGGCCAACUAGAUUGGUAGUUCUUGCAAUGGGAGAAGUGCUUAGCAUUGGGUUCGAUCUUGCGGUGUCCUUACCAGUGACAGAAAGGGUUGCAAGGCACGUAUUGUAUUGUUGCCAUCGAGGAUAACAAGAUGGUUUUUUUAUCAUAUUGCAUGAAUUUAUCCCUCUACAUCAUGUCAUCUUGCUUAAGGCGUUACUCUGUUUUUAACUUAAUACUCUAGAUGCAUGAUGGAUAGCGGUCGAUGAGUGGAUUAAUAGUAGUAGAUGCAGAAUUGUUUCGAUCUACUUGUCUUGGACAUGAUGCCUAUAUACAUGAUCAUUGCCUAGAUAUGCUCAUAACUAUGCUCAAUUCUGUCAAUUGCUCAACAGUAAUUUGUUCACCCACCGUAGAAUACUUAUGCUCUUGAGAGAAGCCACUAGUGAAACCUAUGGCCCCGGGUCUAUUCUCAUCAUAUCAAUCUCUAUUGCUUUAUUAGUUGCUUUGUUUUUACUUUGCCUUUUACUUUUCACUUUGCAUCUCUCUAUCAAAAAUACCAAAAAUAUUAUUUAUCAUCUCUAUCAGAUCUCACCCUUGUAAGUGACCUUGAAGGGAUUGACAACCCCUAAUCACGUUGGUUGCGAGUAGCUAUCGUUUUGUGUAGGUACGAGGGACUUGUGCGUGGUCUCCUACUGGAUUGUUACCUUGGUUCUAAAAAACUGAGGGAAAUACUUACGCUACUUUACUGCAUCAUCCUCUCCUCUUCGGGGAAAUCCAACGCAGUGCUCAAGAGGUAGCAGGGACCUCCUAACUACUCCUGGUCGUCGGCGGUCUCCAUGUAGUAGCAUCCAUCGGCGGUGGCAUCUGGCUCUAGGGAUCCAUCAUUUGGUUGCAUCAACCGAAAAGAAGAAAGAAGGGGAAAAGGGGGAGCAAAGCAACCGUGAGUACUCAUCCAAAGUACUAGCAAGCAUUAGAUCUAUACUAAGUAUGCAUUGGUAUCAAAUGGAAGGUUUGCAUCUAUGGACUGAACUUUAGAAUGCUAGGAUAGAGGGGAAAGGCCUAGCCUAUCAAAGACUAGCAUCUUCAAGCAGCUCCAAGCAUCUUGCAGCAUGUAGAAGAGUAAAGAAUAGCAGUUUAAUAUUUAACAAACAUGUUGUAGAACCAACGCCCAUAGAUCCUUCGUUGACUCCCUGCGAGAAAGCAAUCUCGGAGCCACAUAUCCAUCACAUAUCCCAAGUAUCCAUUUCUAGUUAUAUAAGAUCAGGAUACAAGUCUGAACAUACAUUACCGCAGACACGGUAUUCAAAUAUAUAUCUUCCUUGUAGGGGUGCACCACGUUACCCAACACGCUCGAUCACUCUGGCUGGACACACCUUUCUGGGGUCAAUGCCCGCCCUCGGAAGAUCAACACGUCGCAGCCUUACCAAGGCUCAGCAGAGAGGUUCCCGCCGGUCUACAUCCUAAGCACUCCGGGGUCUUGGGCCCAUUGCCCGUAGCACUCCGGGUCAUUGUGUGCAGGGUGGAUACCAGCACCGCCUCGGAUGGCCAGCAUGAUCCGACCAUGCCACAGUGUUGAACUGGACGUCUGACAAAGCUUCGGCUGAUACUGCGAUGUCGAGGCCCAUAUCUAUUCUCGCGUGGUGGUUAGUGCGUAAAGGCCAUAGGCCAACUCAGAAAAAUACCCAAAUCUAUUAGUGCAUUGGGCGCGCGCAGAAACGAGCAGAGACUAACGAUAAGGUGACCCCGUCGCUUCGUCUCAUGGACUUAUGGCAAGGGCCCAGACUGCCCGGCCGUGCCAUGUGGAAAACUCGCGGGUGCUCUACGGGCCCGCCCGACUUUCACAUCAACUCGCGGGUACCCCUCAGGGCCGACCCGACUUCAUCAAAGGUCUCAAGUAAGUCAAGGUAACCAUGUGUCCAAACAUCAAGGGGGAAACCCGAGGAAUCACCCACGGAGGAUUCCACUUGAUGUAAUCAUCAAGGUGAAUGUAAGAGGAUCCACCCUCGAGGUUCACACUUGAGGUGUUGCAUGACAGAGCCGUAUCGGAAAUGGUGAAUGAGGAACCACCCUCGUUGACCACGACCGAAUAGCUACACUACAGAAUUAUCAUCAGGAGUGCGUUAUGAGGGAUCACCCUCGGCACUCGGUAGUAGCUCCGCAGUGUCGAGCAACUAAAGGGGCAUAAUGUGAUGUGAGGUGUUAGGCUCUGGUCAUCGAUCACGUUGAUCGAGUCAUCGGAGAUGAAGCAGGGGCAACAAGGAAAAUGUGGGGGUCACUGAUGGAUCACUAACCAACCUAUACUAAGCAGUUUAGGAUAAGCAGGUAAGGUACAAUGAGCAGGUUACAAAAGCAGGCUAUGCAUCAGAAUAGGAGUAAACAAUAACAAUAGCAAAAUCUAAUGCAAGCAUGAGAGAAUGGAAUGGGCGAUAUCGGGAUGAUCAAAGGGGGGCUUGUCUGGUUGCUCAGACAAGAAGGAGGGUCGUCGUCGACGUAGUCGAUCACAGGGGCAUCAGCAGCGGUCUCGAGGUCUACCGGAGAAGAAGAGGGGGAAGAAACAGUAAAUACAUGCGAACAUAUGCAUAACAUGACAAUAAGCGAUGCUAGAGGUGUUCUAAGGCAGUGUUACACGAUACCGGUAAAGGGGAACAACAUCCGGGAAAGUUUUCCCGGUUCCGUUCGUCUGUCAAACAGAUGAACCGGAGGGGUAAGGUUGCAUGUUUGAUAUGCUAGGAACGUGUGGCGGAUGAACGGACUGCAUGUUCGGAUUCGUCUCGUCUUUCUGAGCAACUUUCAUGUAUAAAACUUUUUCAUCCGAGUUACAGAUUAUUUUAUAUGAAUUUUCAAAGUUUUAACAAUAUUCUGAAAUUACUAUUAAUUCAAAAAUCAAGACUAAAAUGCUACGGGUACCCAGCUCUACGUACACAGAAUUGUACCAGAGGCUGACAGGUGGGCCAGGGGGUCCUAGUUGACCAGUCAAUCUUUGACUGGCCAACAGGGCGUGGGGUCCCCCUGUCAUAGACUCAUUAGGCUAGUCUAACAGUUUAGUUAACUAAACAAGGUGAUUAAGCUAAUUAAUUCUAAUUAAACUUAAUUAAACCAAUUUAAUUAAGUCAAAUAUUUUUAUUAUAUUUCUUUUUUUUUAUAAAAAACAGGGGAGAGGGCCCCUGCUGCCGGUGGUACAAAAGCCACUAGAGCGGGCGCUAGCGGGCGUUGGUGUCGGUUCUCGGGUGAAGGCCACAGCCCGUCCUGGGCACGGGGCGAGGCCGAGCUGCGCCAGCAGCGGCGGGGGUUGGACGCCGGCCACGACGAGAAGCUCCAGCAGUGGCGGCUCCGCCACGGCGAGCGGGCGCGGUUGGCAACAUCGGGCGGCGAGGGGCAUCAGCGGGAGCGGUGCGGGAAGCCCGGGUGAGCGGCUACCGUGAGGCAGCGCGUAGCGACGGACGGGGCGGACGUUGCAGGAGGAAAGGCGCCGGCGCGGGAGGCUAGUUGGGCACGGCGGCGACGACGGCUUACAGCGUCUAUAAGAAAGGGAACGGAGCGGGGGGGGGGCUCGCAUGGGAACCGUAGGGGAUGGCUGUGGGUUUGUGUACGACUUGCCAGAGCCGGAGUUGACCGGAUUGAGGUCGGCAGUGGCGGAUGACGUCGAGGAAGAAGAGCCCGAGGCGACGGCUUGGGGAGGUCCCCACUCGUGUGCGUCGUCGUGGCGGUCGAGGAAGUCGAGGCGCAGGCCCUGGGCAUCUC
rnacentral:lncRNA from 1 species